AGAGUUUGAUCAUGGCUCAGGACGAACGCUGGCGGCGGGCUUAACACAUGCAAGUCGAACGCACCGGGAAACCGGUGAGUGGCGCACGGGUGCGUAACACGUAGGUAACCUGCCCUUGAGCGUGGAAUAACUCCGGGAAACCGGAGCUAAUACCGCAUGUUGUCCGGUGGUGGCAUCACUGCCGGAUGAAAGCCUUCGGGCACUCAAGGAUGGGCCUGCGGCGGAUUAGGUAGUUGGUAGGGUAAAGGCCUACCAAGCCAACGAUCCGUAGCUGGUCUGAGAGGAUGAUCAGCCACACUGGCACUGAGACACGGGCCAGACUCCUACGGGAGGCAGCAGUGAGGAAUCUUGCGCAAUGGAGGCAACUCUGACGCAGCCACGCCGCGUGAAGGAAGACCCCCCUAUGGGGCGUAAACUUCUUUUCUGCAGGAAGAACGCCGGUUUACGACCGGGCUGACGGUACUGCAGGAAUAAGGACCGGCUAACUCCGUGCCAGCAGCCGCGGUAAUACGGAGGGUCCAAGCGUUGUCCGGAAUCAUUGGGUGUAAAGGGUGUGUAGGCGGGACGAUAAGUCAGUGGUAAAA
rnacentral:rRNA from 1 species